UACGUAGGGCGCAAGCGUUAUCCGGAAUUAUUGGGCGUAAAGAGCUUGUAGGCGGUUUGUCGCGUCUGCCGUGAAAUUUCGGGGCUCAACCCCGAACUUGCGGUGGGUACGGGCAGACUAGAGUGUGGUAGGGGAGACUGGAAUUCCUGGUGUAGCGGUGAAAUGCGCAGAUAUCAGGAGGAACACCGAUGGCGAAGGCAGGUCUCUGGGCCACUACUGACGCUGAGAAGCGAAAGCAUGGGGAGCGAACAGG
rnacentral:rRNA from 1 species